rnacentral:pre_miRNA from 1 species
CCUGAGGCGGGAACCGAGCUGAUUUUUCCACUGGUGAUAAUUCCAAGAAUAGUGUUUAUCACCGGGUGUGAAUUGGCUCUGGUCCCGUCUCUGGAC